rnacentral:rRNA from 1 species
GACGAACGCUGGCGGCGUGCUUAACACAUGCAAGUCGAACGCAGUGGCGAACGGGUGCGUAACGCGUAAUCAACCUGCCCUUCCGAGGGGGACAACAGUUGGAAACGACUGCUAAUACCGCAUACUGAAGGAGGGGAUUGCGUUGGAUUAGCUAGUUGGAGGGGUAAGGGCCCACCAAGGCGAUGAUCAGUAGCCGGUCUGAGAGGGUGAACGGCCACAUUGGGACUGGGACACGGCCCAGACUCCUACGGGAGGCAGCAGUAGGGAAUCUUCCGCAAUGGACGAAAGUCUGACGGAGCAACGCCGCGUGAGUGAUGACGGCCUUCGGGUUGUAAAGCUCUGUUAAUCGGGACGCGGUACCGAAAUAGAAAGCCACGGCUAACUACGUGCCAGCAGCCGCGGUAAUAC